GUCAAGACCUGCAAGAGAGAAAAUGCGAUGAACUAGCUGACAGCCGGCUAGAAAGAAGGCGUUUUCGUUUUGUGAAUUGGCCUGAUUGGACUCGUAAAAUCACUAAUAAGCCGGGUGUCCUGCUGACGUGGCCACACCUUGCAACCCUUUGAUUUUAUCGCAGCUAUUUGUUGAGAAAGUUAUCUCCCGGCUGAAAUGCUCGACCUGGACAUAUACACUCGUUGGGUACUAAUUAGCACGGCCACAUUUCUGCUUUCGUGGAUGCUUUUAUUUCGCCGAUUGUUUGGGAGAAGCUGGCCUCCAGGUACCCGGCUACCUCCCUCAGUUCCUGGCGCCUCUAUCACUGGACACCACGAGAUGCACAAAUAUGACUUUUUCUGCACUGCGGCCAUGAAGUGGGCGAGGCAAUAUGGGCCUGUGUACAGAUUAAGGCAGAACUUUGCCAGCAUCGUGAUUCUCAACGAUUUUGAUAGCAUCAAGAAGUUCUAUUCGAGAAAGGAGUUUCUCAACCGUUCCCGGUUCUGGGUCAUGAAAUCCGAUCGGUACGAAGGUACGUACUCUAAACAGAUACAUGCCUGCACUCAGCUCUAUUGAAGUGACGACCAACUUUGGGAAGAAACGUUAAACCACACUAUAGUACUAGCUCAAUUGAACUUUAUCAGUGAAGCUUGAUAUCGCUAAGAUACGGGAUGUCGUGAUGUUAGCGAGAAAUACAUCCAGUUCCUUCGAAUUCGUUUCUUUUGGAGCACGGUAAACGCAAUCACCCGCCAUCUGACCUCCCUGCGUAGGAACACCUGCGAGUCUGGGCAAAAGAGAAGAGAUUUUAAAAUAAUCGAGAAAAGAAGCAAGGGCAGUCCGUUUUGACAAAGAGACGAGUGACAGUUUUCUAGAAAAACG